UUUCCCUAGCUUGCCUGUACUCUCCUCUGUGGCGGUUUUUUCCCAGGCUAGCUCCCACUCCUCCUCCACCUGGUGCCCCCUUCGCAGUCCCAGCUCCAAGAUGACACCCUAACAGGUUGACAACCCCACCAGAAAGGGGACACCUGCGGUGCUCCCAGUACAUUCUAGCAACCGACCGGCUGGAACCACGGGCCCAUCCCUGAACCAAUCACGGAGGCCUAGACAGCGGGAGAUGCUGAUUGGCCAGGAGGAAGUCACGUGACCGCCUCUGGGGCUCCAGGCGUCAGAAGCCAUUCCCACAAUGGCCAGAGCCGCGUGGCCUGGGAGUCGGAAGGGGUGGCUCUCCGAAGGGAUAUCAAGAUGCGGCGAACAGACGGUCCUCCAUGGGUGAAAACGACAGAUGUUUACCGCGGAAGCUGGAGACAGAAACUAGAAACCACUCUUUUGGGCAGCUAAAAGCCUGAAACAGGAGAGAAACGGGAGGCAGAGAAAAAAGAACAAAACAUCCCUAGAUGCAGAGGAAGAAAAUAAAAGCCUCUCAUCUGUGCUCUGCCUUCACCUCUGAGGGGACACAACGUACCUUUUCCAGGCAUGGGGAGCCUCAACAGAUUUGCCACCGCAUGCAGUCUGUGCAGAUAAGAUCUUCACCGUGUCCACCAGGAGCACAGGUAUGCCAUGAUGACAUCUUUCUCCAAGGAGACUCAUCUGACACACUCAUUGCGGACAUAUAGUUCCUGUACCUUUUAGUCCUUUGGGGGGCUGGUGGCGACAUACUCCUCAUUUACAAGUUUUACUUCCAAAUUAAAAUCAGCAGGCACUCCCAUUAAUGCCCUCAGAAACCCCUUCACUGUAGAGUCUUUGGCAACCUCUUCUUAUGCCUUCUGGAGUUUCUAGACUACUUACGAUGGCAAUAAGUUGCUCAAAGGCUUGUGAUGCAAGAAACGAGCCCUCUAAGCCUCACGCUGUACGCUACUAAAACAAUGAUAACUGGCUACACACUGGACUCGCCUGGGAAUAGAGGCUCUCAUAGACCCUGAGGCUGUGACCUUCCGUAUCCAGCUGGGCCACCCAUUGUGCUUUGGGUCAUGGAGACUGACUCCCACAAGACACCUGCCUCAUGACCUGAGAUCAUGACCUGAGCCGAAGUCAGGCGCUUAACCCUAUGAGCCACCCAGGCACCCCUUCAACAUCAUGUUUUUAAUACAGUUUGCAAAUUUGACAAAAAUAUU